rnacentral:rRNA from 1 species
GAUGAACGCUGGCGGCGUGCCUAAUACAUGCAAGUCGAGCGAACGGACGAGAAGCUCGCUUCUCUGCUGUUAGCGGCGGACGGGCGAGUAACACGUGGAUCACCUACUUCUAAGUCUUGGAUAACUUCGGGAAACCGGAGCUACUACUGGAUCAUACUUUGUACCGCAUGGUUCAAAAGUGAUAGACGGUCUUGCUGUUACUUUUAGCUGGUUUCGGGCUGCAUUAUCUAUUUGGUAAGGUAACGGCUUACCAAGGGAACGAUGCAUAGCCGACCUGAGAGAGGAUCAGCCACACUGGAACUGAGACACGGUCCAGACUCCUACGGGAGGCAGCAGUGGGGAAUCUUCCGCAAUGGGCGAAAGCCUGACGCAGCAACGCCGCGUGAGUGAUGAAGGUCUUCGGAUCGUAAAACUCUGUUAUUAGGAAAGAAAAGAUGUAUAAGAAUCUGUGCACGUCUUGACGGUACCUAAACAGAAAGCCACGGCUAACUACGUG